UGGCGACCGGCGCACGGGUGAGUAACGCGUAUGCAACCUGCCCGAUACCGGGGUAUAGCCCAUGGAAACGUGGAUUAACACCCCAUAGUACUUUUAUUCCUGCAUGGGAUGUGAGUUAAAUGUUCAAGGUAUCGGAUGGGCAUGCGUCCUAUUAGUUAGUUGGCGGGGUAACAGCCCACCAAGACGAUGAUAGGUAGGGGUUCUGAGAGGAAGGUCCCCCACAUUGGAACUGAGACACGGUCCAA
rnacentral:rRNA from 1 species